rnacentral:misc_RNA from 1 species
UGAUAUUUUUUUCUUUAUCAGUCUGCUGCUUGUCAAAGUCAAAGCCUAUGUUUCCACUAGGCAUCUUGACAACAAUGGCAGCAAGCUCUGCGUUUGGCAUUAACUUUGGUGAUACCUGGCCUGUCUGUCUCCGCUCAACACCAAACAACACGGACUCUUUUACCAUAUACUGGGCAUUGGAGUUCUGUUCAGCCGAAUCCAAGGAAG